UUCAAGCUUGAAGAUGGUAGCAUUCGCUAGUUUUUGAAAUGAGAAAGAUUAUUUUAAUCUUUCAUCAAAUUCAAAAGUAUUCAUCUGAUUAAUAAGUUCUUACUGCUAAUGAACAUGUUGUCCUAGAAAAUCUGAAGUAGUACAAAGAUCACAGAGGAAAUGGCCAUUAUACUAUGAUUUAUAUUCCAUAAAGCUUAGAAGUGAGUUGUCAAAAGUAGCCAAUAUCACUGAUGAAGGGAAUCUUCAAAAUUAUGUGAUUUUA
rnacentral:lncRNA from 1 species